UACGGGGGGGGCAAGCGUUGUUCGGAAUUACUGGGCGUAAAGGGCGCGUAGGCGGCCUUCUAAGUCAGACGUGAAAUCCCUCGGCUCAACUGGGGAACUGCGUCCGAUACUGGAUGGCUCGAGUUUGGGAGAGGGAUGCGGAAUUCCAGGUGUAGCGGUGAAAUGCGUAGAUAUCUGGAGGAACACCGGUGGCGAAGGCGGCAUCCUGGACCAACACUGACACUGAGGAGCGAAAGCCAGGGGAGCAAACGGG
rnacentral:rRNA from 1 species